UUGCACAGAGAACUCCACCACACUCAAACGCUGACAGUGCCUUGCCAGCCCUGGUGGACUUGAAGUUUCGAUGAGCUUUAAGUUCGUGGAGCAGCUUAGCUCUGGGAUUGUGGUGCCAGACUUACUGACCUCCAGCUUUUCACAUCCUGGGAGGAGAUUGCUCUCAAAGGUACACUCAUCUUAACCAAACUCAAGACAGCGAUGUCUAGGACAAGAAAGCUGACAUGCUGAUCUGUGCUCAAACCAGAGUUGAGCUGGCUCCAAGAGCGUCUGGUCUCCAGGAUCUGCACGGCCUUUGGAAACCAAAGCUCAAUCCCAGGGGCUCAGGGCCAGAGAAUCAAGCAAACAUGCUGGUUACAGAAACUGAAAUUAUUCACUCAUUCGACAAAUAUUAGUCAGCACCUACUCUGGUCUAGCGACUGUUUUCAGAGCUGUGACCAAGACAGACAACGUCUUUGUCGAGCAUGGAGAUUAUGUUCUAGUUAGUCGUAGAUUCUGGGAUUGAACCCCUAGACAAGUGAAGAAGGCAACGUCAAAUAGUAACUGUCAGAAAGGAAACAUAACAGGGGCAUGUGUUGCAGGAGCUGGGAAAGGCUGAGACUCGGAUGACACGAAGGCCCGUCCAUGUGCAGGCCAGGAAGGGUGCUCCAUGCAGAAGCACAGCAGGUGCAAAGGCCCUGAACUGGGGAUGAGGGUGGCUCGAGGAUGCGAUCAAGUUCAACUCACAAAGGGGAAGCCGAUUGUGAAGUUCAGAGGAGAUCCUUCUAGCUUCCAAGGCUGGACCACGGUCUGAGACAGAGGCGAGAAUCAGCAGACGGAACAGGUCAAUAAAGCAAUGCACUGGAAUGUUCAGGA
rnacentral:lncRNA from 1 species